rfam:Picea glauca, whole genome shotgun sequence.
UCUUAUGUACAUACCUACAACAUAGCGUUAAUGUAUUGGAUCCCAUUAGAACUCUGUAGUUAAGCACGCUUGGAAUAGAGUAGCAUUGGGAUGGGUGACCUCCCGGGAAGUCCUAUUGUUUUACAUGCC